CUUUUCCUAACUUUGGAUGUACAGCUGGGAGCAAUUUCAGGAUGCAGUAGUUCUGAUCUUGGGCAACUUUUAUCUUCAAGGUAUAAUGAAGGUUUGGCUCGUCCCUCCAGUCUCACAACAUCAUUUGAUUUCUACAUGGGAGGAAGAAAAUGUAUGGGUGUUUCAUUACCUGAGAUUCAAAGGUUAACUCUCUGCAGGGAAAAUUAUGAAAAAUCUGAAUGUUUAAAUGAAGACAAAACAGGUUAUUAUCUUCUCAAUAGAAGUACAGAAUCAAAGAAUUUUCAACAAUGAAAGCCUCAUCUAAACUGAAUACUCAGUUUACUCACAAUUUUAAGGUAAGUAUUCUCUAUACAGUGGAAGUUCUAGAAUGCCUUCUAGGAUUAACUCAAAUAAAGCUGGUUACUUAGCCUAGGUUUGAAGUCACCUACAUGAUGGAGGCUUUGGCACAGAAUGUGAUUAGCCACCUGCUACAGAAUACUCCAGCUAGAGAGAGAGGAAAAGUCCUGCCUGUCCCUUGGGAAAUAGGCUAAAGCAUAUAGAAUCCACUGUAGUAACUAAUAUGUCAAAAGAAAAGAUUUUGAUUGAUGAAACAAAUACCAAAGUAGUGGAGUAUAGUAUAAAUGAACAGUGUUUUUAUGGCUUAUAUAUAAGGUGCAUUUUGAGCUCCUUAUACUAACUAGAGCAGCAUACUAUAGUAUAGAGUGAUCAUGGUAAGUUACUUUUCUCAUUUUUCUAGUUCUCAGCUUCUUAAUCAUAAAAUGGGAAUAAUUAGACUAUCUAUACUCUCUAUAGGGUUGUUAUGAGACUUGAAUAAAAUGAGCCUGG